rnacentral:lncRNA from 1 species
AAGGAGAAUGAAGGAAAAAGGGAGGGAGAAAACCACCCUUAUACAUUUAGGACUCACAGGGCAGGAGUCCCAGACUGGGAGAAAGUCUGGACGUUUCAGCAGAGUUCAGUGUGCUGUGUCACUGUUUGUCUUGGCCUUUUUCGGCUGUGAGCAGCAGCAGCGUAAAUGAAUGUGCUUCAUUUCCUCAGCAACAAGACUGGGUCACACAUGUCCCCUCCCCUGGUGAGCAACCCAAGGAGUGAGUGGGGUGUCAUGGUGUUGCCAGGGACAGGCUGACAGUAGUACCAAAUUAGGAAAAGGACCGACUGAGGAUGCCUGGCCAAUCUGCAUCCCCAAUGCUCAGCCAGCAAAAUCAGUGGAAGUGUGUGUAAUUCUGCGGAGACUAGGAUGGCAUGUGCUCCGCCAGCAAUGCAGGAAAAAGGAUAAUCAAGCGGGACAUGGUUCUUGAAUAAGUGUAAAGCUAAACAUCAUCAAAAUGCUGCAACACAAUACGAGGGGCUGGAAGUGGUUAGUAUUGUGAUUACAGAGAGGGCAUCAGUAUAGGAUGUCAUUUCUCACAAAGAUCCAGGAAAAUGUCUAGCAUUCAUUUUUAUAAACAAAGCAUAGCACACUGGAGUUAUUUCUUAUUUCAAACGUAUAGUCAUACUACCUUUAUUUAGAACAUGGGCGAGGGGAUUGGAAUGGUAUAUAAAUCCAGGACAAGACUUGGUAUGUAAGUUCCUCCUCAAAAAAGCAAAACGCAAGGCCUAUUCUAAACAAAUCCAGGGCAAUUCAGCUCUGAAGCAUUGUUAAUCUUUUCAUUAAAGGUACAGUCACUAUGUUCCAAAUCCUUCUUCCAAAGAUCAGAUCCAGAUUUUCCAGCUAAUGAAACAAUGAAGUCAUUCCUUAAUGCCAAAAAACCCUUGAGAAUUUCCUGUGCCAUUGGGCACAUUCUGUGAGUAGAAGGAAUGUGGAAUUAGAGGGGGAAAUUGACUUCACUGAUGACCUCCAGAAGAACUGAAUGGUACAGGAAAAAAGUGUUUCACUGAUUUAGUGCCUAUCUCAAGAGAAAAAGGAGACUUUACAGCUAUUCAUCACCAAUCAUUAUGCAAGUGUAUAAUAUGUAUCAUAUGUAAGUGUAUCAUGGUUUCCUGGAAGUACACUGGCUUCAGGUUAUGUAAGUAUCAAAAGGUGAGUGGUUGGUUGUAGUUUCAAUGGCAAACCAGUGGCAAGAAGUGUUAUUUUUCUUACUGGCCUUGCCUGUAGCUGUGAAGAUUCGGAUAUGGGAUCAAGUGGAGUAAAUUGGUGGACCAGUUUGCCUUUAGAGGCUCUUAGCCAGUAGUGGCACUAAGCCCCCACAAACAUCCAUCAACAAGCAUUCAAUCCAAGGAGAAACACUCUGCUUCCUCUGCAAUGCAGCUUCAAAAUAACUCCCCUAAACCCCUUUCUCUCCAACCAGCUUUUGGUACCUUUCUAUAUAGACAUUCUGCCACCAAAACUGAUCUUGCACUUGGCAAAAAUGAUGCCUCCUCAUCAACCUGACUUGAGAUGCAAACUUCAGUGAGCCUGGAAGUGAGUCCAAGAAGGAAGUGGUGAGAAUGAACACACUGACCUCACUCUCCUUCCUCCUCAUAUCCUGCUGGUGCUCGUCAGCGGCCAAACACGAUCACAAGUUCCCACAAUAGGCUGUCUGCAAGCUGAGGAGCAAGGAAGCCAGUCUGAAUCCUAAAACUGAAGAACUUGGAGUCCAAUGUUUGAGGGCAGGAAACAUCCAGCAUGGGAGAAAGAUGUAGGCUGGGAGGCUACGCUCUUCUCUCUCUCUGUCC